rnacentral:lncRNA from 1 species
UUAGUUGGGUGACUUUCAUAGUGCUGGUUGAGCUAGAGGAAUGGAGAAAAUAUUCAAUCAUACGGACAUGCUAAAUUGAGAAAUUUUAUUGAAUGUGCUUUUGGUGUGUUAAGGGCGCAUUUUUCAAGUCUAAAGAGGAUGGCACCAUCUCAUUUGAUGCACAGAGAAAAAUGGUGGAGGCAUCCAUGGCAAUACACAAUUUUCUUUGCAAAAUCUUAGUAGACGGUCCAUUAUUUGCUCAAUAUGACAAUGAUGAAGUCGAACUAGAUAGUGUCCAUGGCCAUCAGAAUCAAACAGCUCAAUGCUAGCAACUCUUCAAGCAUUGAAGAUCAAAAUUUCAUUAUGCAAUUCCUAGAUCAAAUGGCAAAUCAAUUGUUUCAAUCAUCAUAUCAGUUUUUGUCUUAUUAUCUAAUAUUAUUAUGAAUUUGUGAUGAAAUUUGAAACUUAAGGUAUUUUAUAUUUUAAAAUUUCAGAAUCAUUAUGUAUUCAUUUGAAGAUGAUAUAUGUUAUAGGGAAUGUAAACUUAAACUAUUGGCUUCAAAAUGCCUGCACAAAUUUUAAUUCGUUAAUCUCAUGUAAUAUAAAGUUGAUAGUUGAAUUAAAUAUUUAAUCUAGAGAGAGAGAGAGAGAGAGAGAGAGGUACUUGUUGUCUAUGGUGAGGAUGUGUAGCGACUUGGCCAUCAUUACUUAAAGAUAUUCUUCCUUCGCUAAGAGAUGACAAAGACCAAGACAUCUCCUCGUCGCCUGGCAUCAUCUUCAAAUAUACGUCUGACAUAAAUUACAUAAACAUUGAGAGAGACUUAAAAGAAAACUUAUUCAAGUUAAAAAAAAUAGAAUUAAAAUAAUAUCUAUUAAAAAUUAAGUAAUCAUACAAAUACAAUCAGUUUUGUACAAUAUGCAUAAACCGAUGUAGUAUGAAUAGAUUGGCUAAAAACGAUCAUAAUUAUUAUUAUUUUUAUUUAUGUAGACCCAUGAUAAUUUUAUACAAAUAAGCUUCUCAUGACACAUCAAUUUGUACACACUUAUGUGUAUAAAGUAAUUGAAACUCUCUAAUUACUUAAAAGUUAAUUAGUGAAUACCAAAGAUAAUAAUAUGAGAAUAAAGAUAAAAGUAGAUUUCAACUAAAACAUAACUACCAACAUGGUUUGACUUAAAUUGAUUUUUUCUGAUGAUAAACUUAAAUUUCUUUUAAUUAAUAUAUUUCAAUGCCUUUUCUUUUAAUUUCUUUCUCUUUAACGAAAUUGAAUCAUAUGAAUUAUCAUCACAUAACAAGUGGACAUAGUAUUAUUUUCUGAGCAAAGUUUUGUGAAAAUCUAAAUCAACAACUGAUCAAGCAAGGUCAAACAAAAAGAUUCGAAAAAUUGGCAUGAAAAAACUUCUUUCGUAGCAGCAAAUUAAGUUUUACGAAAAUCUAAAUCAACAACAUACAUAACUCACCCGCUGUUCAAAAGUCAAAAUUAUAACUUGUUCCAGGAAUGACUGAAAAAAUAAUACAUCUCUACCUCAAUUAAUUGGGAACUGAAAACAGAGAGCAAAAAUACUUUAUUACAGUGCUUUUGUCAAAGUUUUUGAGAAAAAAUAACUAGUACUCAAUAUUUCUCUCCAGGCUAUUAUCAAACAAUCACCAAUACUAUGAGGUGAUUCGAAAUUAAUCUUAAUGCUUAUUUUUUAAAUACCUGGCUGCUGAUAGAAGUGAAUCAGAGUUGCAGAUCUUGCUUCUGUUAUCUCUCUUUAUACUUCCAGACUUUCUUCAAUCAAAGAACUGACCCAAGUUCUAUCUCUUAGAAGUGAGCCAAUUUC